rnacentral:lncRNA from 1 species
GGUUUCCAAUAUCCAUUAGUACAUUCUCUGGUAAACAAUUUAACCUCAGCUGACUAAAAUUUUCCCUGAUAUACAAUAUGCAGCCUUUCUCCCUUGUGCUCACAGAGGAGGCCAAUCGGGCCUUACUUCUCCUCUGGUCCCGACAGUCUGUGGACCAUGUGGCUCAGGGUAUUCCAGGUCAGUCUUUCCUAGGCCUUGAUGUCAGGAACGGAACCUUCCUGUUCUUGGGUUCUCACUCAUCAACUAUCUUCAGCAGAAACCAUAGUGAGACUAGAGAAGCACAAAGACUUACUUGAAAGGAAAAAAAAGUUUUAAUUAAUUGAGUACAGUCCCGACUCUUAACAGGAAAUACUAGAGAUCCUGAUCGCAGUAAAGGUACUCUGACUGAGAAUGAAGCAGACACUGAGGAAAACAGGGCUGUGAAAUAGAGACAUAAUGUACUGAUGAUAUCAUUAAGACCCUGGAUCAAACAAUUCUGAAGCCAGAUUCAGCUAUUACAUUCAUAAUCAUAUAUGUCAACAAUAUGUCAACAAUUUCAUUUUUUUGGUUGAUUUAUUUUGAGAUUGGAGCCUAUCACUUUCAAUAAAAAUAUCUUUCUUUUUAAA